rnacentral:misc_RNA from 1 species
CUGCCUUGCAUCUCCCGACCACCAGUUGUCCUUCCCUUCAUCCUCCUCUCACCCAAACAGUCGUAUGGGCCCUUCGCCGCCGACCACGUGCUCGGGUGCAGCUACCUCCAAAUUUCCCAGACCGAGGCGGCGCGACAGGCGUCCAGCGGCACCAUUCGGCUUUUGAAGAUGGAGCGGGUGCUGCUCGAGGAGGAUGAAGAGGACCGGUUGUUGAGGAAGUUGGGAAACACUAUAGACUAA